rnacentral:rRNA from 1 species
GCCGCGUGCAGGAUGAAGGCCCUCGGGUUGUAAACUGCUUUUGUACGGAGCGAAAAGCCUGGGGCUAAUAUCCUCGGGUCAUGACGGUACCGUAAGAAUAAGCACCGGCUAACUACGUGCCAGCAGCCGCGGUAAUACGUAGGGUGCAAGCGUUAAUCGGAAUUACUGGGCGUAAAGCGUGCGCAGGCGGUUUUGUAAGACAGUGGUGAAAUCCCCGGGCUCAACCUGGGAACUGCCAUUGUGACUGCAAGGCUAGAGUGCGGCAGAGGGGGAUGGAAUUCCGCGUGUAGCAGUGAAAUGCGUAGGUAUUAGGAGGAACACCAGUGGCGAAGGCGGCUUUCUGGACCAAAACUGACGUUGAGGCACGAAAGUGUGGGGAGCAAACAGGAUUAGAUACCCUGGUAGUCCACACUGUAAACGAUGGAUACUAGGUGUAGGGGGUUAUAUGCCCUCUGUGCCAAAAGCAAACGCAAUAAGUAUCCCACCUGGGGAGUACGGCCGCAAGGUUGAAACUCAAAGGAAUUGACGGGGGCCCGCACAAGCAGUGGAGUAUGUGGUUUAAUUCGAAGCAACGCGAAGAACCUUACCAGGGCUUGACAUAUACAGGAAUAAUGUGGAAACAUGUUAGCUCUUCGGAGUCUGUAUACAGGUGGUGCAUGGUUGUCGUCAGCUCGUGUCGUGAGAUGUUGGGUUAAGUCCCGCAACGAGCGCAACCC